rnacentral:rRNA from 1 species
GACGAACGCUGGCGGCGUGCCUAAUACAUGCAAGUUGAGCGAUGAAGAUUGGUGCUUGCACCAAUUUGAAGAGCAGCGAACGGGUGAGUAACGCGUGGGGAAUCUGCCUUUGAGCGGGGGACAACAUUUGGAAACGAAUGCUAAUACCGCAUAACAACUUUAAACAUAAGUUUUAAGUUUGAAAGAUGCAAUUGCAUCACUCAAAGAUGAUCCCGCGUUGUAUUAGCUAGUUGGUGAGGUAAAGGCUCACCAAGGCGAUGAUACAUAGCCGACCUGAGAGGGUGAUCGGCCACAUUGGGACUGAGACACGGCCCAAACUCCUACGGGAGGCAGCAGUAGGGAAUCUUCGGCAAUGGACGAAAGUCUGACCGAGCAACGCCGCGUGAGUGAAGAAGGUUUUCGGAUCGUAAACUCUGUUGGUAGAGAAGAACGUUGGUGAGAGUGGAAAGCUCAUCAAGUGACGGUAACUACCCAGAAAGGGACGGCUAACUACGUG